AUACGGAAGGUGCAAGCGUUAAUCGGAAUCACUGGGCGGGGUAAAGCGCUCGUAGGUGGCUUUGUAAGUCAGGUGUGAAAGCCCACGGCUCAACCGUGGAAUUGCACUUGAUACUGCAUUGCUUGAGUUCGGGAGAGGGUAGUGGAAUUCCAGGUGUAGGAGUGAAAUCCGUAGAGAUCUGGAGGAACACCAGUGGCGAAGGCGACUACCUGGACCGAUACUGACACUGAGGAGCGAAAGCGUGGGGAGC
rnacentral:rRNA from 1 species